CUACGGGGUGCUGCAGUGGGGAAUUUUGGACAAUGGAGGAAACUCUGAUCCAGGGAUACCGCGUGGGUGAUGAAGAUUUACGGAUUGUAAAGCCCUUUUAGUAGGGAAAAUAAUGAUGGUACCUACAGAAAAAGCAUCAGCUAACUCUGUGCCAGCGAGCUGCGGUAAUACAGAGGAUGCGAGUGUUAUUCGGAAUCACUGGGCGUAAAGGGCGCGUAGGCGGUUAUUUAAGUCCGCAAUGAAAUACCGGGGCUCAACUUCGGUGCUGUUGUGGAUACUGUUUAACUAGAGAACGGAAGAGGUGAAUAGAAUUCCUGGUGGAGAGGUGAAAUUCUUAGAUAUCAGGAGGAAUGCCAGAGGCGAAAGCGGUUCACUGGGACGUUUCUGACGCUGAGGCGCGAAAGCGUGGGGAUCAAACAGGAUUAGAUACCCUAGUAGUC
rnacentral:rRNA from 1 species